AGUGAACGCUGGCGGUAGGCCUAACACAUGCAAGUCGAACGGCAGCACAGUAAGAGCUUGCUCUUACGGGUGGCGAGUGGCGGACGGGUGAGGAAUACAUCGGAAUCUACUUUUUCGUGGGGGAUCACGUAGGGAAACUUACGCUCAUACCGCAUACGACCUACGGGUGAAAGCAGGGGAUCUUCGGACCUUGCGCGAUUGAAUGAGCCGAUGUCGGAUUAGCUAGUUGGCGGGGUAAAGGCCCACCAAGGCGACGAUACGUAGCUGGUCUGAGAGGAGGAUCAGCCACACUGGAACUGAGACACGGUCCAGACUCCUACGGGAGGCAGCAGUGUGGAAUAUUGGACAAUGGGCGCAAGCCUGAUCCAGCCAUACCGCGUGGGUGAAGAAGGCCUUCGGGUUGUAAAGCCCUUUUGUUGGGAAAGAAAAGCAUCAGGUUAAUACCCCGCUGUUCUGACGGUACCCAAAGAAUAAGCACCGGCUAACUUCGUG
rnacentral:rRNA from 1 species